UACGUAGGGGUGCAAGCGUUGUCCGGAAUUAUUGGGCGUAAAGAGCUCGUAGGCGGUCUGUCGCGUCGGCUGUGAAAUCCCGGGGCUCAACCCCGGGCCUGCAGUCGAUACGGGCAGACUAGAGUGCGGUAGGGGAGACUGGAACUCCUGGUGUAGCGGUGAAAUGCGCAGAUAUCAGGAGGACACCGGUGGCGAAGGCGGGUCUCUGGGCCGUAACUGACGCUGAGGAGCGAAAGCGUGGGGAGCAAACAGG
rnacentral:rRNA from 1 species